GAUGAACGCUGGCGGCGUGCCUAAUACAUGCAAGUCGAGCGAACAGAUGAGGAGCUUGCUCCUCUGACGUUAGCGGCGGACGGGUGAGUAACACGUGGAUAACCUACCUAUAAGACUGGAUAACUUCGGGAAACCGGAGCUAAUACCGGAUAAUAUAUUGAACCGCAUGGUUCAAUAGUGAAAGACGGUUUUGCUGUCACUUAUAGAUGGAUCCGCGCCGCAUUAGCUAGUUGGUAAGGUAACGGCUUACCAAGGCGACGAUGCGUAGCCGACCUGAGAGGGUGAUCGGCCACACUGGAACUGAGACACGGUCCAGACUCCUACGGGAGGCAGCAGUAGGGAAUCUUCCGCAAUGGGCGAAAGCCUGACGGAGCAACGCCGCGUGAGUGAUGAAGGUCUUCGGAUCGUAAAACUCUGUUAUUAGGGAAGAACAAAUGUGUAAGUAACUAUGCACGUCUUGACGGUACCUAAUCAGAAAGCCACGGCUAACUACGUG
rnacentral:rRNA from 1 species